AUUCAAACUGGCCGAUCUGCGAGCUGGACCGGCUUCCUUUACUGAAUCCUUUGUUUUGCAUAAACAAUCGCUCUUUAUUCUGCUUCCCUACGUCCUUGGCAUCCUUCUGCCGUCUGACUCGAAACUUCUCCAGACUCGCCUGUCGCGUCUAAACAGCAAACUGUCCCGAUCCCCAAACAUGAUCUCAGAGCUGGGGGCAAACUCGGCCGAAGCGAAACGUAGCGGCUUCAGGCGGCGCCAGAGGCGUACAUACAGUAAAGCAAACUACAGCCUGCAACAGACAUCUGAGCGAAGCCAAUAAAGACCGCUAUGGGCAAAGAAGAUUUAAACAUUUUUUCUCGAGCUUGUAUCGUUUGUCACUCUGCAAGUUCAACUGACUCCGAGGACACCAGCGAGGUCCCCGGUGCUGGGCGUUGUCUUCAUGGGGGUUAGACAGCAGACCAGCCAGAAAGCUCCCUUCAGAUUGUGAGAAGCCAGACAGUGACCCUGCUCACAUGGAGGAACAGAAUGACGGCUGACUCACCAUCAACACGAGGACUACCAUCAUUUGCGAAUAUGUAAAACCAUCAAAUAUCUAAUAUUUAAAUUAAAAAAACCAAUGCCUAUGUAAAAUGGUGCAUGACAGCUUGUGUUAUGUAAAUGAUUGUGACUGAACACUGCUAUUGUAAUUAUAACUGUACAAUAAAACACAUCUUUACAGUACAGUUCCUUGACUUUUCGUAAGUCACAUUUGAUUGGCUGACAAACAUAGCCGUGUGCAUGUGUCAUGAAACGUCCUGUACCUACAAAGAAAAUUUCAGAAUGUCAGCUAUGUAAUUUUAUCAGCAACAUACAUAUUUAAACAGCUUGUAUAUCAUAACUUACAAUUUCUGUGUUUUAUUCUGCAAUAAAGAUGUAUGACAAUCAAA